AUUGAACGCUGGCGGAAUGCUUUACACAUGCAAGUCGAACGGCAGCACGGGUGCUUGCACCUGGUGGCGAGUGGCGAACGGGUGAGUAAUAUAUCGGAACGUGUCCAAUAAUGGGGGAUAACAUAUCGAAAGAUGUGCUCAUACCGCAUACGCCCUACGGGGGAAAGCUGGGGAUCGUAAGACCUAGCGUUGAUGGAGCGGCCGAUAUCGGAUUAGCUAGUUGGUGGGGUAAAGGCUCACCAAGGCGACGAUCCGUAGCUGGUCUGAGAGGACGACCAGCCACACUGGAACUGAGACACGGUCCAGACUCCUACGGGAGGCAGCAGUGGGGAAUUUUGGACAAUGGGGGCAACCCUGAUCCAGCCAUUCCGCGUGAGUGAAGAAGGCCUUCGGGUUGUAAAGCUCUUUCGCAAGGGAAGAAAACUUACAUUCUAAUAAAGUGUGAGGUUGACGGUACCUUGAUAAGAAGCACCGGCUAACUACGUGCCAGCCGCCGCAGUAACAC
rnacentral:rRNA from 1 species